AAAAAAAUUAAAUCGGAAAAGCAGCCACCACAGUCAUAGACCAUUUAGUAGACAGACAUCAGUGUAGUCUGGUCUUGACCGUGUGCAUAUGAAAUUUUAAAAAAAAGUGAUAAAUUCCAUUUAAAUAAGAAAAAAAUAUAAUAAUAAAAACAGCAACAACAAGAUGUUGGCGCAAAAAUCCAAAAUAAUAUUGAAUACAUUGUUGUUAUGCUGUCACAAGGAAUAAAUAUUCGCAAAGAUUCCCAAUUAUAUAGAAAUUUUUUGUUUUGAAAAUAAAACGCAGAAUGAAUAAUGAAAAUGUUUUAAACUUAAUGGAAUUAUUUGAAAAAAGUGUAUUUUUAAGAAGUGUGUGACAAGUGUAUUGGAUUGUCCAAAAUAAUUUUUUUAAUUUGAAUUAAGAAAGUCUGCUUUAAAAUGUUUAACAAAAGCAACGCUAAACGGAAAGUGAGUGUUUGGUUGCUUGGUGCAGAAAUUUAAAAAAAAAAACAGAAAACCAACAAUAAAAUACGUGUAAAAUGGCCGAGGAUUUAUAAACGGAGGUGCUUUCUUAAAAUUUAAAAUAAGUAAAAUAUUUAUAAAAAAAAAAAAUAAAAAAUAAUAAUAAUAAAAAAGUAAAUAGUAAUUAAUUGAAACAAGUGUUAAAAAAAUAAUAAAAUAGAAAGUCAUUAAAAAUAGGCAAAACUGUAGAUAAUUAGUUUUUCUAGAAUUUUCUCACAAAAGGAAAGUGUUAUUUUCAGCAGCAAGUAAAUGAUAAUGCAUUUUUUGCAUUUAUUAAAUGAAGCUAUAGUUUUAGUAAUAAAUCACUUUUUAAAAUAAAAAAAUAUAAUUAA